UAUUAAUAUAGCAACUCCACCUUUCUUCUGGUCAGUGUUAGCGUGAUUUUUUUUGCGUCCUUUUAUUUAUCUAUUGCAUCUUUAUAUUUAUAGUGAGUUUCUUAUAGAUGGACUUAUAAUUGAGUCUUUUUUUUUUUUUAAAAGAUUGUGUUUCGCUCUUGUUGCCACCCAGGCUGGCGUGCAAUGGUGCGAUCUCGGCUCACUGCAACCUCUGCCUCCCGGGCUCAAGCGAUCCUCCUGCCUCAGCCUCCCAAGUAGCUGAGAUUACAGGCAUGAGCCACUACGCCCAGCUAAUUCUGUAUUUUUAGUAGAGACGGGGUUUCUCCAUGUUGGUCAGACUGGUCUUGAACUCCUGACCUCAAGUGAUCUGCCUGCCUUGGCCUCCCAAAGUACUGGGAUUACAGGUGUUGAGCUACCACGCACAGCUGAGUCUUGAUUUUUUAAUUCUCUGCCUUUUCCUUUGGGUAUUUAGUUUUAUCUCUACUAAAAUUAGAAAAAUUAGCUGGCACACUCCUGUAGUCCCAGCUACUUGGGAUGCUGAGGCAGAAGAAUCACUUGAACCCAGGAGGCAGAGGUUGCAGUGAAACCAGAUGGCACUGCUGUACUCCAGCCUGGGUGACAGACCGAAACUCUGCCUCAAUAAGUAAAUAAAUACAUACACACUUGUACACGAGGCCAGGUGCGGUGGCUCAUGCCUGUAAUCCCAGAAUUUUGGGAGUCCAAGGUAGGCGGAUCACUUGAGCCCAGGAAUUUGAGACCAGCCUGGGCAACAUGGCAAGAUCCCGUCUCUACAAAAAAGUUUUAAAAAAUUAGCUGGGCGUGGUGAUGCUUGCCUGUAGUCCCAGCUACUCAGGAGGCUGAGGCAGGAGGAUCGCUUGAACCCAGGAGAUUGAGGCUGCAGUGAGCCAUCAUCGCUCCACUGCACUGCAACCUGGGCAACAGAGCAAAAUUCUGUCUCAAAAAGAAAACAAAAAAAAAAGCUAGAAAGAAGGAUCUUGAAUCAACUCAUAUGACACCAGAAAAAAAAAAUAUUAUCGACUUGAUUUUCCAGCCCAGGUAUCUAAAAUGUUGCUCUACCCAAGAAACCUGGUCUUCAGUGAGUUCUUUAGGGAGAAGAGUCUCAGCAAAGAUGAAAGACUAAGUGGACAUGAAUCUUUAGGCGUUCUAGCGCAAGGCUGCGAGUUCUCCGCUGCUUGUUGUGGCCGGGGUUACUGCGGCGACCGCCAGAGCAGCCUUGGCGCUAUGUUGGAGCCAGGGGCUACCCCUCAGCGGUACUUGGGGCUGGUCCUGGGGGAGCCACGCAGGGUUGUGGCAGCGCUGCCUGAAAGUAUGAGACUGGAUUCGAAUCCUCAUGGUUUUCCAUGGGAAAUGGUGAUAUGUGCAGCUGUUGCUGCAUUUUUUGCUGUUCUCCUUUUUCUGUGGAGAAGUUUUAGAUCGGUUAGGAGUCGGCUUUAUGUGGGAAGAGAGAAAAAGCUUGCUAUAAUGCUUUCUGGACUAAUUGAAGAAAAAUGUAAACUACUUGAAAAAUUUAGCCUUGUUCAAAAAGAGUAUGAAGACUAUGAAGUAGCGUCAUCGUUAGAGGAUGCCAGCUUUGAGAAGGCGGCAGCAGAAGCACGAAGUUUGGAGGCAACCUGUGAAAAGUUGAACAGGUCCAAUUCUGAACUUGAGCAUGAAAUUCUCUGUCUAGAAAAAGAGUUAAAAGAAGAGAAAUCUAAACAUUCGCAACAAAAUGAAUUGAUGGCGGAUAUUUCAAAAACGAUACAGCCUCUAGCAGAUGAGUCAGAAUCCCUCAAAUCACAAGUAGCUGAAGCCAAAAUGAUUGCAGUGAGCCAUGGUCACGCCAUUGCACUCCAGCCUGGGUGAAAAAGCAAGACCCUUUUUCAAAGAAAAUAAUAUUUUAUUUAAGGAUAGGAUUAGGCCUUGGGAUUCCUUUGGAAUUCAACUUCAUCCAGCUGUGUUAGUGGUCAUGUAGUCAUUAAAUAUCAGAAUACUGUUAUUUAAUAAAUAUACCCCAUCAUAAAAGGUCAUAUUUCUUUAGGGCAAAUACAGUUAGGACCAAUCUCCGUCCUGGGCAAGGACUUACCUGAUUCAAGAGGGGAGAAAACAGGGUGGUCAGGAAUACAUUUGUGAUUCACUCCCUGAAGAGGCAGUCUGGUGACGUGGUUUGGCUGUGUCUCCACCCAAAUCUCUUCUUGAAUUGUAGCUCCCAUGAUUCCCACGUGUUGUGGGAGGUAAUCAAGUCAUGGGGGUGGGUUUUUCUUGUGCUGUUCUCCUGAUAAUGAGAAGUCUCAUGAGAUCUGAUGGUUUUAUAAAGGGGAGUUCCCUGCAUAAGCUCCUUGCCUGCCUCCAUGUGAGACAUGACUUUGCUCCUCCUUUGACUUCUGCCAUAAUUGUGAGGCCUUCCCAGCCAUAUGCAACUGUGAGUCCAUUAAACCUCUUUCCUUUAUAAAUUACCCAUCUUGGGUAUUUUUUUUUUUUUUUUUUUUUUUUUUGAGACAGAGUUUCGCUCUUACUGCCCAGGCUGGAGUGCAAUGGCACAAUCUCAGCUCACCGCAACUUCUGCCUCCCAGGUUCAAGUGAUUCUCCUGCCUCAGCCUCCUGAGUAGCUGGGAUUACACGCAUGCGCCACCAUGCCUGGUUAAUUUUUUAUUUUUAGUAAAGAUGGGGUUUCUCCCUGUUGGCCAGGCUGGUCUCAAACUCCCAACCUUAGGUGAUCCACUCGCCUCAGCCUCCCAAAGUGCUGGGAUUACAGGCGUGAGUCACUGCGCUGGGCCAGUAUGUCUUUAUUAGCAGCAUGAAAACUGACUAAUGCAUCCGGUCACUCUUAGCACAGUGACAUUGAAUGUGCACAAACUAAAAAAUAAGGUUUCAACCAAACUGGUGAGAGCAUUCCUCUUGGUGUUCUCUAGGAAGAAGGCCAGAGGGUUUGGGACAAUAGAAAUAAAACACAGUGGUUUUGAAAAUGGGGCCAAACUGUGCUUCCCCGUGGCGGGGCUGAGAAGGAGGGAGCAGGGCACUGAGCCCGCUGUUCUUUCGGCCCUGGGCUCUCUGCCUCCUACCAUCAGCCCUCAGGGCAGCUGCUCCUCGCUGACCACCUGGCUGCUGAUGGGCUUGGUGGCCAGCAGAGCUGCCCCGUUUUGUCUGUGCAGAGUCAGCCAGACGUGGCUCAGCGCAGCUCUUUCCCUCGGUUUCAUGGAGUAAAGGGUUCCUCAUUAGGGCCCCACACAUCCGUCUCUCAUCAUAGGAGGGUGACUUUCUUCCUGCAUCUCCCGUUUCCACUUAGUCAUUUCAACCAGCGGCAAACUGGAAAAAGGGGUCAGGCCUGUGUUCUAGUUUUAGGGCCAGAAUUCAGUUCCAGGGCCCCAGACAACUGCAAGGAAGACUGAAAAAUGUAAUCUAGCUGAAUGCACAGGAGGAAGAUGAAACAGUGCUUGAUUGAAACAGCACAGUCUCUGCCGUGGACCUGAGGCCCCACCUACUCAACCAUUGAAGCUGCUGAGUUGUGCUGGAUGCAAAUUAACAUCCGGUGACUAGGGGCUCCUACAAUGUGUC
rnacentral:lncRNA from 1 species